rnacentral:rRNA from 1 species
GUGCCAGCAGCCGCGGUAAUACGGAGGAUCCAAGCGUUAUCCGGAUUUAUUGGGUUUAAAGGGUGCGUAGGCGGCUUUUUAAGUCAGGGGUGAAAGACGGUAGCUUAACUAUCGCAGUGCCCUUGAUACUGAAGAGCUUGAAUAUAGUUGAGGUAGGCGGAAUGUGACAAGUAGCGGUGAAAUGCGUAGAUAUGUCACAGAACACCAAUUGCGAAGGCAGCUUACUAAGCUAUGAUUGACGCUGAGGCACGAAAGCGUGGGGAUCAAACAGGAUUAGAUACCCUGGUAGUCC